UUAAUAGAGCAAUACAAAAUAACAAUACACUCGUUUGCAAUGUGCAAAUGAAUGAUUCGUCUUUCGAGGUGCACCUCGAUGAGUUUGCAACUUGCAUCUACUGAGGGACUCUGCCGCGGCGGGUUCCUACGAGGCACGGGACGGGACCCUAUAGGGAGCAACACUGCGCGUGGGCGAAGCAGCGGCUGUGGUAGCGCGUGGGAAUGGGGGAAGGUUAGCGACAGCCAAGGAACGCUGUGGGACACACAGCGCCUGCGGCUUCCCCUCUCCGUCUCGCGCUGCCAGUGCGCACCCCGCGCGCUGCUCUUCUCUCCCCCCCAGCCCAGCUCCUCAGCUGAUUCAUUGGCUGUGACUGCCCAGACUGGCCGGCGCCGGGCGCGUGACAUCAUCCAUUCACACUGCGGCCCAGCUGGCGCCGCCAGGGCGGUCGCCGUGGCAACGCGGACGCCAAUCUCAGCACAAUGACUUCCAGCUGCACACAGCGAGCGGCGUUGGGCCCACAGCGCAGGCGCCGAUGGGGCCUUCCGCGGCCGGCUUGGGACUCGGGUGGUGCGCGCGCUCUGCCUGUGGGGAGGCGUGGGACUGUGCGCGCGCGCGCGCGCGCUUUGAGUCUCAUCCCCUAGGGUCGUGCCUGCCUUGCGCCGCUGCUGCUGGUGCGCCGCGCCAGAGGGACGGUGCAAAAUGAGCCCUGCACGGGGGAACUGCUCCCCGCUCAUCCAGCGGCGUCCCUAGUCGGGCUAAAAGGAAUGAGUCGGGGCAAAGGCGUUUGCAGCACCAAUAAUAAUUACAACUCAAAUUAACUGAUCUUUGCAAAGCCCCUUGGAAAUGCCAAGUGCGUUCCGGUGAAAAUGUGCUGCAGAGGGAAAAGGCAAAAUCUUGAAUCUUCUUGGAGCCUGAGGGUUCUUGACAGCUUUUGGCCCCAAGCCACCGAAGAGUAGGAACAAAAUAGAGACUGAGUCUAGCUGCUCUUGUGUAUGAAGUGCAACGUAGACAAUCCAGACCCCAGUGCAUCCUGGAGCAUGAAUGCUGCAAAAAGGGUCAGCUGUGCCCCUUGGAUCCAACCAAUUGUUGGCCUUUUCCUCCCAAAAUUUCCAUGGCAUGAGUAGAGAACAGAUGUAGCUGUUCCUGCUGCAACCAAAAAAAAAAAAAAGAACCUUGUUGCACCCAGGUGUAUGAGGACCACAAAAACCCUGGAGCUGGCAUCAGGUGCCUGCUGGAUCUUUACAACUUUUUGACCCAAACUGUAAAAUCUAAAUAGAAACAAAUGUAGCUACUUCUGCUUUACUGGAAAAAUCCCCUUUGGAAAACUUUCAUGAUUUUAUUGUGAGUCUUUUGUGAUAUUUCUGUUGAAGCCCUAGCUCUUGAACUCAAGUGGCUGAGGACCACAGCUUUCAUUUGAAAAAUAGCCAGACCACAAGGGACUUGGACCAGGGGAUAUACAUCUGCUACCAACUCAAUGGCUCCCUUCCUGCUCUUUGAAGACUCAAUGUAUGACGAAGAUGCUGGAGAGGCUUGUCAAGGCACUUUUUGCAGCCGACUGCGCCUUGAUGGUCCAUAGACACGACGACCUUCAGGUCAGCGUUGACAGAUUUUCUGAAGCAUCCCAGUUCUUUGGCCUCACCAUCAAUCUCGGGAGACAGAGGUCUUGUUCCAACCACCACCUCAUUCCAAUGCCCCAGUGUCAGCCAUCUUCAUCAAAGGCACACAGCUGAAAAAUGUGGAUCAGUUCAAGUAUUUGGGCAGCACCAUCUUGAGUGAUGGUUCCCUUGAUAAGGAAAUUUCCUCCAGAAUUAGUAAAGCCAUUCAGGCCCUUGGCUGACUAAGAACAAAAGUCCUUAACCAACACAACAUCUCUCUCCACCAAGUUGAAGAUCUACAGUGCAGUGGUUCUAACAUCUCUCCUGUAUGGAUCUGAGACGUGGACUCUUUAUAGACAUCACAUUAAAGAGCUUGAGCAAUUUCACAUGCACUCCCUCUGUUCAAUAAUGAGCAUUCGCUGGCAGGGCAGAGAGACCAAGAAGUGGGCUGUAGUCCAUGAAAGCUUAUGCUCUAAUAAAUUUGUUAGUCUCUAAGGUGCCACAAGUACUCCUGUUCUUCUUUUUGCGGAUACAGACUAACACGGCUACUACUCUGAAACCUGUCAAUAUAUUAAGGUCCUUGAAAGAGCAAACAACCAGCAUUGAAGAAAUGCUACUGAGAGUGCAUCUUAGGUGAACUGGACAUGUCAUCAGAAUGGAAGACCACCGUCCCCCAAAACAGAUCUUGUAUGGGAAGCUGAGUCAGGGCAAAAGAAAGAAGGGUCAUCAGUAUAAGCGUUUCAAGAUAACCUGAAGAGCAGUCUCCAAUGGGCUGGCAUCAGUCUCCAAGAACUCGAGCAAAUGGCUCAGAACAGGACUCACUGGCAGUCUCUGACAAGAUCAGCAUGUAACACAUUUGAAUGGGUUCGACAAAAUCGUCUCCAGGCUGUACGUGAAAGGCGCCACAGAGCUACUUCAUCAAACAUAGAUACAGACUUCCCAUGCCCUCAGUGCGGCCAACUCUAUGCAUCAGGGUUUGGACUUCAGCAUCAUAUGCGUAGUCAGAGAUGAAAACUGUGACAAUAUCAUUAGCAAUGGACUACCAACAAACUCUCAGCCUAAUUUUUGUAGCAGCCUUUUGAGAACCUGUAAGAGGGGAGAGUAUUGUAAAAAUAGAUAUUUAGUUAUGGUGGUCAGAGGAGUUUGUCAUUCAGAAUAGCGCCCUCUUCAGUGCAGUAGAUGAAGUCUGUUCCUGCUCCCACUGAAGUUAGUAGCAAAACUUCCAUUGACUUCAGUGGGAGCAGGAUUGGGCCCAUUAUUUCAAGCAAAA